rnacentral:rRNA from 1 species
GUGACUGCGUACCUUUUGUAUAAUGGGUCAGCGACUUAUAUUCUGUAGCAAGGUUAACCGAAUAGGGGAGCCGGAGGGAAACCGAGUCUUAAUUGGGCGUUAAGUUGCAGGGUAUAGACCCGAAACCCGGUGAUCUAGCCAUGGGCAGGUUGAAGGUUGGGUAACACUAACUGGAGGACCGAACCGACUAAUGUUGAAAAAUUAGCGGAUGACCUGUGGCUGGGGGUGAAAGGCCAAUCAAACCGGGAGAUAGCUGGUUCUCCCCGAAAGCUAUUUAGGUAGCGCCUCGUGAAUUCAUCUCCGGGGGUAGAGCACUGUUUCGGCUAGGGGGCCAUCCCGGCUUACCAACCCGAUGCAAACUGCGAAUACCGGAGAAUGUUAUCACGGGAGACACACGGCGGGUGCUAACGUCCGUCGUGAAGAGGGAAACAACCCAGACCGCCAGCUAAGGUCCCAAAGUCAUGGUUAAGUGGGAAACGAUGUGGGAAGGCCCAGACAGCCAGGAUGUUGGCUUAGAAGCAGCCAUCAUUUAAAGAAAGCGUAAUAGCUCACUGGUCGAGUCGGCCUGCGCGGAAGAUGUAACGGGGCUAAACCAUGCACCGAAGCUGCGGCAGCGACGCUUUGCGUUGUUGGGUAGGGGAGCGUUCUGUAAGCCUGUGAAGGUGUGUCGUGAGGCAUGCUGGAGGUAUCAGAAGUGCGAAUGCUGACAUAAGUAACGAUAAAGCGGGUGAAAAGCCCGCUCGCCGGAAGACCAAGGGUUCCUGUCCAACGUUAAUCGGGGCAGGGUGAGUCGACCCCUAAGGCGAGGCCGAAAGGCGUAGUCGAUGGGAAACGGGUUAAUAUUCCCGUACUUGGUGUUACUGCGAAGGGGGGACGGAGAAGGCUAUGUUGGCCGGGCGACGGUUGUCCCGGUUUAAGCGUGUAGGUGUGUGUUCCAGGUAAAUCCGGUUCACUUUAACACUGAGGCGUGACGACGAGGCACUACGGUGCUGAAGCAACAAAUGCCCUGCUUCCAGGAAAAGCCUCUAAGCAUCAGGUAACAUCAAAUCGUACCCCAAACCGACACAGGUGGUCAGGUAGAGAAUACCAAGGCGCUUGAGAGAACUCGGGUGAAGGAACUAGGCAAAAUGGUGCCGUAACUUCGGGAGAAGGCACGCUGACACGUAGGUGAAGUGAUUUACUCAUGGAGCUGAAGUCAGUCGAAGAUACCAGCUGGCUGCAACUGUUUAUUAAAAACACAGCACUGUGCAAACACGAAAGUGGACGUAUACGGUGUGACGCCUGCCCGGUGCCGGAAGGUUAAUUGAUGGGGUCAGCGCAAGCGAAGCUCCUGAUCGAAGCCCCGGUAAACGGCGGCCGUAACUAUAACGGUCCUAAGGUAGCGAAAUUCCUUGUCGGGUAAGUUCCGACCUGCACGAAUGGCGUAAUGAUGGCCAGGCUGUCUCCACCCGAGACUCAGUGAAAUUGAACUCGCUGUGAAGAUGCAGUGUACCCGCGGCAAGACGGAAAGACCCCGUGAACCUUUACUAUAGCUUGACACUGAACAUUGAGCCUUGAUGUGUAGGAUAGGUGGGAGGCUUUGAAGUGUGGACGCCAGUCUGCAUGGAGCCGACCUUGAAAUACCACCCUUUAAUGUUUGAUGUUCUAACGUGGACCCGUUACCCGGGUUGCGGACAGUGUCUGGUGGGUAGUUUGACUGGGGCGGUCUCCUCCUAAAGAGUAACGGAGGAGCACGAAGGUUGGCUAAUCCUGGUCGGACAUCAGGAGGUUAGUGCAAUGGCAUAAGCCAGCUUGACUGCGAGCGUGACGGCGCGAGCAGGUGCGAAAGCAGGUCAUAGUGAUCCGGUGGUUCUGAAUGGAAGGGCCAUCGCUCAACGGAUAAAAGGUACUCCGGGGAUAACAGGCUGAUACCGCCCAAGAGUUCAUAUCGACGGCGGUGUUUGGCACCUCGAUGUCGGCUCAUCACAUCCUGGGGCUGAAGUAGGUCCCAAGGGUAUGGCUGUUCGCCAUUUAAAGUGGUACGCGAGCUGGGUUUAGAACGUCGUGAGACAGUUCGGUCCCUAUCUGCCGUGGGCGCUGGAGAACUGAGGGGGGCUGCUCCUAGUACGAGAGGACCGGAGUGGACGCAUCACUGGUGUUCGGGUUGUCAUGCCAAUGGCACUGCCCGGUAGCUAAAUGCGGAAGAGAUAAGUGCUGAAAGCAUCUAAGCACGAAACUUGCCCCGAGAUGAGUUCUCCCUGAGACUUAGAGUCUCCUGAAGGAACGUUGAAGACGACGACGUUGAUAGGCCGGGUGUGUAAGCGCAGCGAUGCGUUGAGCUAACCGGUACUAAUGAACCGUGAGGCUUAACCUU